rnacentral:rRNA from 1 species
GACGAACGCUGGCGGCGUGCUUAACACAUGCAAGUCGAACGGUGAAAGCGGAGCUUGCUCCGCUGGAUCAGUGGCGAACGGGUGAGUAACACGUGGGCAACCUGCCCCUCACUUCGGGAUAACUCCGGGAAACCGGGGCUAAUACCGGCUCUGACCUCCUUGGGCAUCCUUGGAGGUGGAAAGUUUUUCGGUGAGGGAUGGGCCCGCGGCCUAUCAGCUUGUUGGUGAGGUAGUGGCUCACCAAGGCGACGACGGGUAGCCGGCCUGAGAGGGCGACCGGCCACACUGGGACUGAGACACGGCCCAGACUCCUACGGGAGGCAGCAGUGGGGAAUAUUGCGCAAUGGGCGAAAGCCUGACGCAGCAACGCCGCGUGCGGGAUGACGGCCUUCGGGUUGUAAACCGCUCUCAGCAGGGAAGAAGCCGCAAGGUGACGGUACCUGCAGAAGAAGCACCGGCUAACUACGUGCCAGCAGCCGCCGUAA